UUGGCCUUCAGAUGUGUUCAGGCCAGGACUCUUAUCACACAUGUGAAGUUUGGGGAAGAUCGGACAUUUUAUGCCUGAGUUAUAACAUCUUUUAUUCCCAUGGCGAGACAUCGAACUUCGUGACAGCGCCAUGGACACGCCUUUUAACGAAAACUCAAGAUCUUCACAACUUAACAUCGCACAGGCCUUUAGAUUAGACUGACCACAAAAAAUACAUUGAUGUCAUAAAAUUUCUAGGAGUAGUUCAUCGCAGUGUAAAAUAUGUCACUUCCUGUUGCCAAUAGGUGGCGCUAUGACUAUAACUGAAUAUGGGCAUGUCAAUCUGUUCAGGUCAGGAGUCUCAUCAAACAUGUGAAGUUUGGGGCAGAUUGGUCAUUGUAUGUCUGAGUUAUAGCAACUUCCUGUUUCAUGGCGAAUCAUCGAAAUUCGCCAGGCCACCACGGACACGCCCAUUAACGAAAACUCAAAAGCUUCGCAAUUUAACAUCGCAAAGGCCUUCAGAUUAGGCAUACCAAAUUUGGUGUUGAUCUGAAUGAAUCUCUAGGAGGAGUUCGUUAAAAUACAACGCAUGGAAAUGACAAAAAUGACACAAAAUUUGCUCAUAAUAUUAGUAAUAACCGACUUCCUGUUGGGUUUCGGAUUUUGCUCCAAGAGACUUUUUUGUAGGUAUUGGAGAGUUACAUGUGUAUACCGAUUUUCAUACAUGUACAUGAAACGUAGCUCGAGGCGCACACCGUUGAACGUGUAUAGGUGGCGCUGUUGAGCCAUUUUGCCACACCCACUUCUGAAACCCAUAUCAGACGUAAAUUUUCGCCAGUUCUGAGGUGUGUGCAAAGUUUCAUGACUUUUCGAGCAUGUUUAGGCCCUCAAAAAUGCGAUUCAUCUUAGAGAAGAAGAAUAAUAAUAAUAAUUAAAGCUGCAAGCAGCGAUGAACGGGCCCUCGCACCCGGGCUCACCGCCAUCGUGUGGCUUUAGUAAAAAGGUGAACGUUGAGAAAUAUGCAUUUAAUGUCCUAAAUAUAAGUGGAAUAUAUCAAAGUAUAUCCCAUAUAUGUGCCAAUCUUACUGUUGCCAGCAGGUGGCGCUAUCAUUAUAAUGGAAUAUUGGCCUUCAGAUGUGUUCAGGCCAGGACUCUUAUCAAACUUGUGAAGUUUGGGGAAGAUUGAACAUUUUAUGCUUGAGUUACAACAACUUCUCUUGCUGUGGCAAGACAUCAAAUUUUGUCAUGGCACCAUGGAAACGCCCUUUAACAAAAACUCAAGAUCUCCAAAAGUUGACAUCGCACAGGCCUUUAGAUUAGACUGACCACAAAAAAGACAUUGAUGUCAAAAAAUUUCUAGGAGUAGUUUGUCACAGCGUAAAACAUAUCACUUCCUGUUGCCAAUAGGUGGCGCUAUGACUAUAACUGAAUGUGGGCAUGUAGAUCUGUUAAGGGCAGAAGUUUUAUCUAACAUGUGAAGUUUGGGGCAGAUUGGACAUUGUAUGUCUGAGUUACAGCAACUUCCUUUUUCAUGGCGAAACAUCGAAAUUUGUCAGGCCGCCAUGGACACACCCUUUAACGAAAUCUAAAGAUCUUCGCAAUUUAACAUCGCAAAGGGCUUAAGAUUACACUGACCAGGUUUGGUGUUGAUCUGAAUAAAUCUCUAGGAGGAGUUCGUUAAAGUACAACCCCUGAAAAUGGCAAAAACAACGCCAAUUUUGCAGAGAAAAUUCUAAAUAACCAACUUCCUGUUGGGAUUCGGAUUUCGUACCAAGAGACUUUUUUGUAGGUAUUGGUGUGUUACAUGUGUAUACCGAUUUUUGUACAUGUACGUGAAACAUAGCUUGAGGCGCACUCUGUUGAAAGUGUAUAGGUGGCGCUAUCGAGCCAUUUUGCCAAACCUGAUGGAAUUUUGGCCUUCAGAUGUGUUCAGGCCAGGACUCUUAUCACACAUGUGAAGUUUGGGGAAGAUCGGACAUUUUAUGCCUGAGUUAUAACAUCUUUUAUUCCCAUGGCGAGACAUCGAACUUCGUGACGGCGCCAUGGACACGCCUUUUAACGAAAACUCAAGAUCUUCACAACUUAACAUCGCACAGGCCUUUAGAUUAGACUGACCACAAAAAAUACAUUGAUGUCAUAAAAUUUAUAGGAAUAGUUCAUCGCAGUGUAAAAUAUGUCACUUCCUGUUGCCAAUAGGUGGCGCUAUGACUAUAACUGAAUAUGGGCAUGUCAAUCUGUUCAGGUCAGGAGACUCAUCAAACAUGUGAAGUUUGGGGCAGAUUGGUCAUUGUAUGUCUGAGUUAUAGCAACUUCCUGUUUCAUGGCGAAUCAUCGAAAUUCGCCAGGCCGCCAUGGACACGCCCAUUAACGAAAACUCAAAAGCUUCGCAAUUUAACAUUGCAAAGGCCUUCAGAUUAGGCAUACCAAAUUUGGUGUUGAUCUGAAUGAAUCUCUAGGAGGAGUUCGUUAAAAUACAACGCAUGAAAAUGACAAAAAUGACACAAAAUUUGCUCAUAAUAUUAGUAAUAACCGACUUCCUGUUGGGUUUCGGAUUUUGCUCCAAGAGACUUUUUUGUAGGUAUUGGAGAGUUACAUGUGUAUACCGAUUUUCAUACAUGUACAUGAAACGUAGCUCGAGGCGCACACCGUUGAACGUGUAUAGGUGGCGCUGUUGAGCCAUUUUGCCACACCCACUUCUGAAACCCAUAUCAGACGUAAAUUUUCGCCAGUUCUGAGGUGUGUGCAAAGUUUCAUGACUUUUCGAGCAUGUUUAGGCCCUCAAAAAUGCGAUUCAUCUUAGAGAAGAAGAAUAAUAAUAAUAAUUAAAGCUGCAAGCAGCGAUGAACGGGCCCUCGCACCCGGGCUCACCGCCAUCGUGUGGCUUUAGUAAAAAGGUGAACGUUGAGAAAUAUGCAUUUAAUGUCCUAAAUAUAAGUGGAAUAUAUCAAAGUAUAUCCCAUAUAUGUGCCAAUCUUACUGUUGCCAGCAGGUGGCGCUAUCAUUAUAAUGGAAUAUUGGCCUUCAGAUGUGUUCAGGCCAGGACUCUUAUCAAACUUGUGAAGUUUGGGGAAGAUUGAACAUUUUAUGCUUGAGUUACAACAACUUCUCUUGCUGUGGCAAGACAUCAAAUUUUGUCAUGGCACCAUGGAAACGCCCUUUAACAAAAACUCAAGAUCUCCAAAAGUUGACAUCGCACAGGCCUUUAGAUUAGACUGACCACAAAAAAGACAUUGAUGUCAAAAAAUUUCUAGGAGUAGUUUGUCACAGCGUAAAACAUAUCACUUCCUGUUGCCAAUAGGUGGCGCUAUGACUAUAACUGAAUGUGGGCAUGUAGAUCUGUUAAGGGCAGAAGUUUUAUCUAACAUGUGAAGUUUGGGGCAGAUUGGACAUUGUAUGUCUGAGUUACAGCAACUUCCUUUUUCAUGGCGAAACAUCGAAAUUUGUCAGGCCGCCAUGGACACACCCUUUAACGAAAUCUAAAGAUCUUCGCAAUUUAACAUCGCAAAGGGCUUAAGAUUACACUGACCAGGUUUGGUGUUGAUCUGAAUAAAUCUCUAGGAGGAGUUCGUUAAAGUACAACCCCUGAAAAUGGCAAAAACAACGCCAAUUUUGCAGAGAAAAUUCUAAAUAACCAACUUCCUGUUGGGAUUCGGAUUUCGUACCAAGAGACUUUUUUGUAGGUAUUGGUGUGUUACAUGUGUAUACCGAUUUUUGUACAUGUACGUGAAACAUAGCUUGAGGCGCACUCUGUUGAAAGUGUAUAGGUGGCGCUAUCGAGCCAUUUUGCCAAACCUGAUGGAAUUUUGGCCUUCAGAUGUGUUCAGGCCAGGACUCUUAUCACACAUGUGAAGUUUGGGGAAGAUCGGACAUUUUAUGCCUGAGUUAUAACAUCUUUUAUUCCCAUGGCGAGACAUCGAACUUCGUGACGGCGCCAUGGACACGCCUUUUAACGAAAACUCAAGAUCUUCACAACUUAACAUCGCACAGGCCUUUAGAUUAGACUGACCACAAAAAAUACAUUGAUGUCAUAAAAUUUAUAGGAAUAGUUCAUCGCAGUGUAAAAUAUGUCACUUCCUGUUGCCAAUAGGUGGCGCUAUGACUAUAACUGAAUAUGGGCAUGUCAAUCUGUUCAGGUCAGGAGACUCAUCAAACAUGUGAAGUUUGGGGCAGAUUGGUCAUUGUAUGUCUGAGUUAUAGCAACUUCCUGUUUCAUGGCGAAUCAUCGAAAUUCGCCAGGCCGCCAUGGACACGCCCAUUAACGAAAACUCAAAAGCUUCGCAAUUUAACAUUGCAAAGGCCUUCAGAUUAGGCAUACCAAAUUUGGUGUUGAUCUGAAUGAAUCUCUAGGAGGAGUUCGUUAAAAUACAACGCAUGAAAAUGACAAAAAUGACACAAAAUUUGCUCAUAAUAUUAGUAAUAACCGACUUCCUGUUGGGUUUCGGAUUUUGCUCCAAGAGACUUUUUUGUAGGUAUUGGAGAGUUACAUGUGUAUACCGAUUUUCAUACAUGUACAUGAAACGUAGCUCGAGGCGCACACCGUUGAACGUGUAUAGGUGGCGCUGUUGAGCCAUUUUGCCACACCCACUUCUGAAACCCAUAUCAGACGUAAAUUUUCGCCAGUUCUGAGGUGUGUGCAAAGUUUCAUGACUUUUCGAGCAUGUUUAGGCCCUCAAAAAUGCGAUUCAUUUUGGAGAAGAAGAAUAAUAAUAAUAAUAAUAAUAAUAAUAAUAAUAAUAAUAAACGGAGCAAUUCCAAGAGGGUCCUCACACCAUCGGUGCUCGGGCCCUAAUUAAAGCUGCAAGCAGCGAUGAACGGGCCCUCGCACCCGGGCUCACCGCAAUCGUGUGGCUUUAGUAAAAAGGUGAAGGUGAGAAAUAUGCAUUUCAAAUCGUUAAUAUAAGUGGAAUAUGUCAAUGUCAUUUAUAUGUGCCAAUUUUCCUGUUGCCAAUAGGUGGUGCUAUCAUUAUAAUGGAAUAUUGGCCUUCAGAUGUGUUCAGGCUAGGAGUCUUAUCGAACAUGUGAAGUUUGGGGAAUAUCGAACAUUUCAAGCCUGAGUUACAACAACUUCUCUUGCUGUGGCGAGACAUGAAAUUUUGUCAUGACGCCAUGGACGCGCCCUUUAACAAAAUCUAAAGAUCUCCACAAUUUAACAUUGCAAAGACCUUUAGAUUAGACUGACCAAAAUAAAAUGUUGAUGUCAUAAAAUUUCUUGGAGUAGUUCUUUGCAGUGUAAAACAUGACACUUCCUGUUGCCAGCAGGUGGUGCUAUGACUAUAACGUAAUAUGGGCAUGUAGAUCUGUUAAGGGCAGAAGUCUUAUCUAACAUGUGAAGUUUGGGGCAGAUUGGACAUUGUAUGUCUGAGUUACAGCAACUUCCUUUUUCAUGGCGAGACAUCUAAAUUUGUCAGGCCGCCAUGGACACGCCCUUUAACGAAACCUCAAGAUCUUCGCAAUUUAACAUCGCAAAGGGCUUAAGAUUACACUGACCAAGAUUGGUGUUGAUCUGAAUAAAUCUCUAGGAGGAGUUCGUUAAAGUACAACCCCUGAAAAUGGCAAAAACAGCGCCAAUUUUGCAGAGAAAAUUCUAAAUAACCGACUUCCUGUUGGGAUUCGGAUUUCGUACCAAGAGACUUUUUUGUAGGUAUUGGAGUGUUACAUAUGUGUACCGAUUUUUGUACAUGUACGUGGAACAUAGCUCGAGGCACAGUCCGUUGAAUGUGUAUAGGUGGCGCUAUUGAGCCGUUUUACCACACCCGUUGGAAUAAUGGCCUUCAGAUGUGUUCAGGCCAGGACUCUUAUCACACAUGUGAAGUUUGGGGAAGAUCGGACAUUUAAUGCCUGAGUUAUAACAUCUUUUAUUCACAUGGCGAGACAUCGAACUUCGCCAUGGUGCCGUGGACACGCCUUUUAACGAAAACUCAAGAUCUUCACAACUGAACAUCGCACAGGCCUUUAGAUUAGACUAACCACAAAAAAGACAUUGAUGUCAAAAAAUUUCUAGGAGUAGUUCAUCACAGCGUAAAAUAUGACACUUCCUGUUGCCAAUAGGUGGCGCUAUGACUAUAACUGAAUAUGGGCAUGUCAAUCUGUUCAGUUCCAGAGUUUUAUCAACCAUGUGAAGUUUGGGGCAGAUUGGAUAUUGUAUGUCUGAGUUAUAGCAACUUCAUUUUUCAUGGCGAAUCAUCGAAAUUCGCCAGGCCGCCACUGACACGCCCUUUGACGAAAACUCAAAAUCUUCGCAAUUUAACAUUGCAAAGGCCUUUAGAUUAGGCAUACCAAAUUUGGUGUUGAUCUGAAUAAGUCUCUAGGAGGAGUUCGUUAAAAUACAACUCAUGGAAAUGGCAAAAAUGACACAAAAUUUGCUCAUAUUAUUAAAAAUAACCGACUUCCUGUUGGGAUUCGGAUUUCGUACCAGGAGACUUUUUUGUAGCUAUUGGUGUGUUACAUAUGUGUACCGAUUUUCAUACAUGUACGUGAAACGUAGCUCGUGGCGCACACCGUUGAAAGUGUAUAGGUGGCGCUGUCGAGCCAUUUUGCCACACCUACUUCUGAAACCCAUAU